UAUAUAUAUAUAUAUAUAUAUAUAUAUAGAGAGAGAGAGAGUUGAGCUAGAAUACUCUCGAUAGCAAACGGGGCGUUUUACUAUCGAGUUGUUUUCGAUGAUAGAGCUUCCAAAUUGACGAUCGGCUCCGUUGAACAUGAUCUAUACCACUUGAAGUGUUUAGAAAUCAAAUUUCAAAUCUUUUCGACAUCAUUUGCCUAAUAAUCAAAGGGUUUCAAAAUUUGUAAUUUUAAUGGUGGAUAAGAGACGUUUUCUCGUUUAACGGUGUAAAGAUAUCCAAAUCAAUUGAAUUUUUGUUAGAAAAUUCUUUAAACUAUUUAAAACAAGAUCUAUACUCUUGAUCUUGAUUACAAGAUUCU
rnacentral:lncRNA from 1 species